rnacentral:misc_RNA from 1 species
GAUGAAGAACGCAGCGAAAUGCGAUAAGUAAUGUGAAUUGCAGAAUUCAGUGAAUCAUCGAAUCUUUGAACGCACAUUGCGCCCCUUGGUAUUCCGAGGGGCAUGCCUGUUCGAGCGUCAUUAUAACCCCUCAAGCUCAGCUUGGUGUUGGGGCCUGCUGCACUGGCAGCCCUUAAAAUCAGUGGCGGCGCCAUCUGGCUCUAAGCGUAGUAAUUCUUCUCGCUAUGGAGUCCUGGUGGAUGCUUGCCAUCAACCCCCAAUUUUUCUAUGGUUGACCUCGGAUCAGGUAGGGAUACCCGCUGAACUUAAGCAUAUCAAUAGCGGAGGA